rnacentral:rRNA from 1 species
CCUACGGGAGGCACCAGUGGGGAAUAUUGCACAAUGGGCGGAAGCCUGAUGCAGCGACGCCGCGUGAGGGAUGACGGCCUUCGGGUUGUAAACCUCUUUCAGCAGGGACGAAGCGUAAGUGACGGUACCUGCAGAAGAAGCACCGGCUAACUACGUGCCAGCAGCCGCGGUAAUACGUAGGGUGCGAGCGUUGUCCGGAAUUACUGGGCGUAAAGAGCUCGUAGGCGGUUUGUCACGUCGUCGGUGAAAUCCUAGGGCUUAACCCUGGACGUGCAGGCGAUACGGGCUGACUUGAGUACUACAGGGGAGACUGGAAUUUCCGGUGUAGCGGUGGAAUGCACAGAUAUCAGGAAGAACACCGAUGGCGAAGGCAGGUCGCUGGGUAGUAACUGACGCUGAGGAGCGAAAGCAUGGGUAGCGAACAGGAUUAGAUACCCCUGUAGUC